rnacentral:lncRNA from 1 species
AGCGCAGAAGGCAGGACUCGGGACAAUCUUCAUCAUGACCUGCUCCCCUCUCCUCCUCACCCUUCUCAUUCACUGCACAGGGUCCUGGGCCCAGUCUGUGUUGACGCAGCCGCCCUCAGUGUCUGCGGCCCCAGGACAGAAGGUCACCAUCUCCUGCUCUGGAAGCAGCUCCAACAUUGGGAAUAAUUAUGUAUCCUGGUACCAGCAGCUCCCAGGAACAGCCCCCAAACUCCUCAUUUAUGACAAUAAUAAGCGACCCUCAGGGAUUCCUGACCGAUUCUCUGGCUCCAAGUCUGGCACGUCAGCCACCCUGGGCAUCACCGGACUCCAGACUGGGGACGAGGCCGAUUAUUACUGCGGAACAUGGGAUAGCAGCCUGAGUGCUGGCACAGUGCUCCAGCCCAAUGGGGAACUGAGACAAGAACCCCCUUCUUCCUCCCCCAGGAGGAUUUUCUUUCACUCUGUGGGAAUACAAUAUUAAGUAAGCAUUGUCAACUAUAUACAAACUGGCCACACUGGUGUGUCUCAUAAGUGACUUCUACCCGGGAGCCGUGACAGUGGCCUGGAAGGCAGAUAGCAGCCCCGUCAAGGCGGGAGUGGAGACCACCACACCCUCCAAACAAAGCAACAACAAGUACGCGGCCAGCAGCUAUCUGAGCCUGACGCCUGAGCAGUGGAAGUCCCACAGAAGCUACAGCUGCCAGGUCACGCAUGAAGGGAGCACCGUGGAGAAGACAGUGGCCCCUACAGAAUGUUCAUAGGUUCUCAUCCCUCACCCCCCACCACGGGAGACUAGAGCUGCAGGAUCCCAGGGGAGGGGUCUCUCCUCCCACCCCAAGGCAUCAAGCCCUUCUCCCUGCACUCAAUAAACCCUCAAUAAAUAUUCUCAUUGUCAAUCAG